GAUGAACGCUGGCGGCGUGCCUAAUACAUGCAAGUCGAGCGAACAGAUGAGGAGCUUGCUCCUCUGACGUUAGCGGCGGACGGGUGAGUAACACGUGGAUAACCUACCUAUAAGACUGGGAUAACUUCGGGAAACCGGAGCUAAUACCGGAUAAUAUAUUGAACCGCAUGGUUCAAUAGUGAAAGACGGUUUUGCUGUCACUUAUAGAUGGAUCCGCGCCGCAUUAGCUAGUUGGUAAGGUAACGGCUUACCAAGGCAACGAUGCGUAGCCGACCUGAGAGGGGGAUCGGCCACACUGGAACUGAGACACGGUCCAGGCUCCUACGGGAGGCAGCAGUAGGGAAGCGUCCGCAAUGGGCGAAAGCCUGACGGAGCAACGCCGCGUGAGUGAUGAAGGUCUGCGGAUCGUAAAACUCUGUUAUUAGGGAAGAACAAAUGUGUAAGUAACGAUGCACGUCUUGACGGUACCUAAUCAGAAAGCCACGGCUAACUACGG
rnacentral:rRNA from 1 species